AUACAAACAUAUUAAUGCUUUUUUAAAAGUUAGAAGCUUUCUUUAUAAUAUUUCUUU
rnacentral:tRNA from 1 species